rnacentral:lncRNA from 1 species
CAGAGAAAAAGCGGCUUUCCAUUGCCAGCCUUCUAGUCUAGCUUUAGGCAAGAAAGUUAGACCUGCACCAGCACUUGUCGAUGAAAAACAUAUCUUGUCCUACAAAGAAGGAGGCUUCAGUGAUUUCCUUGACUUCAUUUCUGGAGAAGAUAUUGUGGAAGCAAAGUACAUAGACAAACUAAAAAUAAAUCCAUGACAGUAAUAGUCCAUGGACAGCAGAGCAGAUGAUACAAGAAUUCUCACUUUUACACUCUUCACACUUCACGUCAUACAAUCUGUUUGCACUUGUUAAAAUGCAAAGGUUAUAUUCAGUAGCCAUCUUUCGUACAUACUUUGUUCUAACAUCACUGGUGAGAGGCCCAUCUUUCUUCAAAAAAUUUUCCUUUUUUUUAUUUUUUUUGGAAAAAGAAAAAUAAGGGCUCUUAUUUCUUCAUGCUAGGAGGCGUCACUGUGAAAAAUAAAUUUGGAACAGACUUUACCUGUCAUAUUAGGGUUCCCUCAAGGCCACUUAUGAUUUGAGGAUCCAUAAUGUUUGCACCACCAGCAAAAUUAAGAUGUAUCAUCAAGAUCUUCACUAAACCCAAUGAUAUACCUCUGUUAGAAGCCAGCAACUGGAAAAAUCAAAUAAUUUCCAAAUAGGGAAAGAGUUUUAAUAUUCACAUCUAAUCUAGUUUAAGACAAAUAUAGGUCAUACCACAAGUUCAGAACUCAAGCUACAUUCAUCAGUUGGUAAAUGGCUAUACGCGCUUAUAGGAGCAUGUGCUCUCACAGAAGGUAACGUUUUGAUGGUAAAUUGAUACAGAAUGUUUAGUUAAGACCUUAAACCAAUUAGACGUGCAAAGAACAUUAUACUGAUUUACAACCACAACCAUAUACAACAAAGUGACCUUCCAACAAUAGUAUCUGUAAACAUAGCGCAGAAAUAGCCAGCACAACAACCGCUCUCAUAUUAAUAUUAUCAUUCUUUUAUUCUUUCUGGUUUUGGGUUGAGAAGUUACCAUUAUAAGCAAACAGGGAAGCAUGGCUUCAAACUCAACUUCCAUGACUCAGGUAAUGCUCAGAUAUGAUGCCCAACCCUUACUAUCAUAUAGUGUAGACCUCGCUAAUGUUCAGACAUCCAAGCUGUUGUUUCUCCAGGAUUAUCCACUUGUUUCAAACCUCCUUCAAACUAACAUGAAAUUAUUGCAAACCAAGGAAUAAAUUUUCAGGCGAAUACAUCUGAAUUUCUUUAAAUAAAUUGGCUACUGUACGUAGAUUUGAUUUCCUAUUGCACUAAAUAGCUGCAAUCAUCACCUUUGUUAGUCAGAUAACAUGGCAAACUUGCGAUGCUUUCCACCUCCUAAAAGAUUAUAUCCAUGCAUCAUCAGAAUAGGUUGUUAAUGUUUCUAUAAACAAACACCUGUAGUUUGUUUAUCUUAAUUGUUUCUAUUUACUUCCAGUUAAUUCAUUAUAUCUCUACCCUGCGGGGUAGGGGUAAGGUCUGCGUACACACUAUCCUCCCCAGACACCACUAGUGGGAUUUUACUGGGUCGUUGUUGUUGUUGUUAAUUCAUUAUCACCACAUGACAUAUAGGAUUCAGCCAUCGCUAGUCCAUAAUUCAUGUUGAUAACUAAUCAUUUCCUCCAUAGAGUGCAAGCUUAAUCUUUAGAAAUAAGCAUGAAAUAUCCUCAGAUCUCAUCACAAAACCGUCAUUUUUCCCCGAUUUUUCUCAGUAGAAAAUUUUACAUUGACAAUUGAUUUAAAAUAAUUUAGCAUGAAUUUCUGCUUUUACCCAUUCAGAUAGUCACUGAAAUCACAUUUUCCUCCCUUUUUGGUGCAAUUAGUCGACUCUUGAGUUAUAUCUAGUCAACACCAAAUUAUAAUAUCAACAAUCAUUUUUGUCCUGUUUUAUUAAUCUCCCAAAGGUGAUAAUGGAUAACCCAUUAAAGGCCAAGAACAUCAGAUUAUUCAAGGAGCAAGAUGCGUUAUUCAUAUUUCAAGAGAUUAAUCAUUCAUUUCCUCAGGGAAAAAAAGGUAUUCAUUUUCCUCCUUGAUCUUACUCAGGAUUUCUAAUUUCUUCAGCUGUUGACGCCAAUUUUUAGAAAUUCACAUUUUAGUGCAAUUUUAACUAUUUAAAAAUUAUUAAGUCGAACUCUUCUCGCUAAUUCAGUAUUAUCGUAGUUACACAAACAAAAAUCAGCUAUUCGAAGUUGCUAAAACGACUGCUCGAUUUCUUCUCGAUAUGAUGGUUAAAUCGUACGUUUGAUUUGCAUUUAAUCUCAAGAUAUACGAAUAGCAACAAAUAAAAUUGCAGAUAUACAUGAAUCUCACUAUAAUUAGUAAAGAAUUUAAUACACAAAAAAUUAUUAAAAUUAUAGAAAAUUUCAACUGAAUUCGUAGCACAAAAAAAACGCGGGAAAAACACUUACGAAGGGCAGUGAAAAUUGAUUCGAAAAAUUAGCCGUAACUCUCUGCCUUUUCAUACGUCUCUGAUCUUCUCUGUCCCUAUCGCUAAGCCUCUCCUCCAUUUUUACUUUUUCCUGAUUUUCAAUUUUCAACGAAGGGGGCUUGGAAAAUCGAAGAGAGGUGGAUUAAUUUCCUACUCCGCGGGUUUACCGUAUGGCUUUUUCACUUCGGCCAUUAGUUAGCCACGUGUCUAUUCAGUCGGCUCACAUUCUUAUAGGAUUUUGAGCAGUUUUUGAGUGUUUGCGAAGAUCAAAUUGUAUUUUUUUAUUUCGAAAACUUAAUUUCAACUAAACACUGCCUAAUAAACACUUCUAGAAACAUUUCAAAAAGAAAAAAACCACAUCUCACAGAAUAUUUUAUAUCAAAUAAAUUACUUAUUAAAGCGUCGAACUCAUUCUGAUCCCACUUUAUACAUCAAAAUUUCAUAGAACACUAUAUUCGUAUCUCAUUAACUAUGAAAUUAAAAGGGAAAAAAAUGUUUUAAGAAAUUACAUCAUUUCUAAUAAUGAUAAAAAGAUUAUAGGAAAGUAGAAGUGAACCCAAAAUUUAAAAGUGACGAGCACUACUAUCAAAUAAAAAUUCGAAGAUAAAUCAACCAAUACAUCUAUAUAGGUGUUGAGUUUACAAUGUCAAUCAAAAUAUAUAUAUGGCAUUUAAUAAUACAUAUAUAUAUAUAUAUACGAAAUUACCGUGGGAGCAAUGACCCUCUACCAAAGAAUAGAUCCGGCCUCCGUAAACAGAAGUUUCUAAAAAAUCAUUAAAAUUAGGUGUAUGCUAGACAAUACUCCUCACGAUCACAGGACUUAGUUUGAUUUUCAGCGCAAAGAAGUUCUUAAAACCAUUAACAAUGUUUUUUUAACAAUAAAACAAAAAUAUUUGGAAACUUCACUGAGUAUAUAUGCAAGUUCGUCAUAAUUUUAAAAUUAAUUUAUUUUAAAAAAUAUUUUUCAAAAAUAUAUUUUAGGUGAGAAACUGUUUGUGUUUGAUUAAUUAAUUUAAAAAUAAUUAAUUUGAAGCAGGAAAUAAUAUUUUACCAUUAUUUUUAAAUAUAUUUUUCUUAAAAAUAAUUUUCGAAAAAAUAUUUUUUGGGAAGAAGUUACUUUUAUUUGUGCUUCUCAAAAAUUGAUUCAGCUAUUACUCAAAGUAUUUUCUUUUUCAGUUUUAAAAAUUAGACCAAAUAACUUAACUUUAGGAAAAAUAUAUUUUUGGCCAAAAUUAAAUACUUUUGGCAGGAAAAAAAAAAAACA